AGCGAAUAAUCUGAGUCAAGCAUUUCGUUACACCAUAUAUGAUAAUGAUGAUGCUGAAGAGGGGCGUGGAGCUCUCGAUCGAGAUGAUGAGGAUGUUUAUUUUGAUGACGAAUCUGCUGAAGUUGUGAUAUCAUCCCUGAGGUUGGCAGAUGAUCAGGGGAGUUUGUUCACAAAUUCAAAUUGGUUCGCAUUCCAAGAUGAUAGAAUUGGUGAUGCUUCUAUGAGCACCUCACCUGCUGAUGUGAUGGAGGAUAUUAACCUCAAUGGAAUGUCAAAUAGUAGCAACAGCAAUAGUGAUGAUGAAGUGGUAGUUGGAGAGGAGGAUGAAUUGGCUGAGAGCAAAAAUUCUAAUACAAUACCUAACUCCAGUUCGAACCCCUUUAAUGGGUUCAGCAUAGCCCAUUCUGGUAAUGAUGGGGACUUUAAUCAACAGAAUGAAAAAGCAGGCUCCACAACUGACAUGACGUUCGAGACAUCAGGGAGUGACGACCCCUUUGGAGACAGGUCUAUGCCUGAAUGGGUAGCAUGGGGGGAUGCCUCAAAUUUUCAAGUUGGUGGAUCCACUGUCAACCCAUUUUUAGACCAUAGUAACUCUGCUGACCAUCUUGCCAACCCAGGGGAAACAGGAACUACACCACUUAAUUCCACUAGUUGUAGUGGAGAAUCUAUUCCAAAUGGUGUCUCAUCUCCUGAUUCUAGCAAAAGUUCAGGAUCUGAUUCUAGUCAGAAAGCAACCACUGUUCCUUCUUUGUUUGAAGAGGAUGUUGAA
rnacentral:misc_RNA from 1 species